CCCUUAGAUGUCCUGGGCCGCACGCGCGCUACACUGAUGCAUUCAAAGAGUCUACCUUGGCCGAGAGGCCUGGGCAACCUUUUAAACGUGCAUCGUGAUAGGGAUAGAUUAUUGCAAUUAUUAAUCUUGAACGAGGAAUUCCUAGUAAACGCAAAUCAUCAAUUUGCAUUGAUUACGUCCCUGCACUUUGUACACACCGCCCGUCGCACCUACCGAUUGAAUGGUCCGGUGAGGACUCGGGAUUUUUACCAGUUUCCUUCAUUGGGAAUUGGUGAGGAGAACUUGUCCAAACCUUAUCAUUUAGAGGAAGGUGAAGUCGUAACA
rnacentral:rRNA from 1 species